AUAAAACAAUAUGGUUCUCUCAUGGUGAGACUCCCCCAUUGCACUCCGGGGGGGUUGACCCUUGCGAUUUCCCCAAAUGUGGGAAACUCGACCGUACAAUUUGUGGGAGUGGGGGACUGCGUUCGCGCUGUCCCCUG
rnacentral:snRNA from 1 species